AUGACGUAAGCAACCGGGGGCUGGGCUACGCGCGUGUUGAGAAGCCGCUCGCUUUCCGCGCGCUCUGAUAACCCAACGUCCUCACGCCGGAGCUCCACAGAGCACCUGCCUGGAUUGAAUAUGCCAAUGCUCUGCACCUCCUGGAUAUCCCAAGAGAAACAUUGUCCAAUCAUCGACUCUGUGCAAGGCACUUCACACCUGACAUGUUCAUAACAUCGGGACCUCAUUCACAGGGCAUCAAGAGGCGUCUGAAACCUACUGCAGUACCAACCGUUCCUGUACUUGAUCCGUACUUAAGGCAUUUUGUUUUACCAAAGUUUUACAAUGGACCAGACCCAAGCACAGGUACACUUUUCGCACGUGCAUGCUUUUUCCUCCUGCUGCAGAGAUGAAAGCUGCCAAGUCUUGUCACAUCUUCGCCAGUGAAACAGUAGUUCUGCAUAGAUUGGUUUAAGCUUUUUCUACCAUCGCACCACACUAAUAAUUCUUUGUUCUGUUUUGCAGCCAUCGUGUGCUCUCCCAGUUCCUACACAGUGGUUCACGUUAUUGCUGCAGUGGACUGUCAUAAGUGCAAAAAGAAUACUACCCAUUGUUACCCUAGGCACUCAACUGCUUUCACCCCCCUCCCCCCCCUUUCUAGCAGGAAGAUUGUCUCCACUCGAUCCAGAGGCGCCAGCUGGGAUGCAGCAACAUGCAAUGC